rnacentral:tRNA from 1 species
GGAGAGGUGGCCGAGCGGUUGAAGGCGCACGCCUGGAAAGUGUGUAUACGGCAACGUAUCGAGGGUUCGAAUCCCUCCCUCUCCGCCA